GUCAAGAAAUCCAUAUAGUCAUAGAAAUCUAAAUUAGUCAAAAUGAAAUGUUAAAAAUAGUUUCUAAAUUCCGCCAAGCAAUGUUUUCAGCAUUUUUCGAUUGGAGUUAAGUUUUGAAUACCAUUAAACUUUAGUUUUUGUCGGUGUCGAGAAAAGCGGAAUGGUGUGGAAAACUCAAUUGCAGUUCACAUGACGGGACAAUUGGAGUGCUGGGAUGAGUCCAAUAUCAUUAUCAUCUUGAUUACACCUGCCGCUCCCAUCGCUUUUUCCUGACUAAUUGCUGCCUGCUCUUUGCCGUCGAGCGAAAGUUUCUCCCGCGGAAAAGCGGGGAAAGUCAGCCGUGAAAUUUUAAUGAUUCGUAAGUUGAUACGCCUUGUAAGGAGGAGAGAAGAAGAAAAUUGUGAACGAGGGCGGAAUGGUGAAAUGGUGGGAAAUGCAAAUUAAGACAAUUUCUUAUUGAGUAUCAAAGGCGAAAAGCGGGGGAAAACUCAAGAGCACUGAAACAGAAAAAGGUGGCGAGCAGCCGAAUGCUGAAGAUAAAAAAAAACGAAGCGAAGAAAAACCGUCCUGGAAAAAUGCGAACAAAUGAGGUGCGGGGUGCAUGUCAAAAGAUUAUGACAAUUUUCCCACCACAAAUGAACAUGAAAAUCCGACAGGCGACAACGACAGCAAAAGGAGCAACAGCCCAGGACCUCGAACCAUUGUUAGCUGCUGUUGACAAGGAUUAAGGACAUCCAUGGAAAAUAAGAAAAUGACAAAAUUCACAAAGGCGCAAAAAAUCUGUGCGCGGCAAAACGAAAGAAAAGCCCGAACAGACAGUAAUCAAUGCGAGAGGAAAAUUGCGAAAAUUAUGAUUGAUGUCGAUUGUUUGAUUGGGUCUAGAGAGAUUGGAAACCUGAGGAGGGCACCGAAUGGCCUUCCCACUAAAGUUGUCGUCGGGGUCACCAUUUUGUGAAAGUACAAAAUACUUUCCUAAGAAAACAUUGCAACAUUGCCAAGUUUCUAAGUUGCGAAGCAGAGUUUCCUACUCAAAUUGCAGCUGAUGAAAGUGUUGCUUCGGGGCUAACCUAAUAAAAGUUUAUUUUAGGGUCACCA